rnacentral:rRNA from 1 species
UACAGAGGGGGCAAGCGUUGUUCGGAAUUACUGGGCGUAAAGGGUUCGUAGGUGGCCAACUAAGUCAGACGUGAAAUCCCUCAGCUUAACUGGGGAACUGCGUCUGAUACUGGAUGGCUUGAGUGUAGGAGAGGAAUGCGGAAUUCCAGGUGUAGCGGUGAAAUGCGUAGAUAUCUGGAGGAACACCGGUGGCGAAGGCGGCAUUCUGGACUACAACUGACACUGAGGAACGAAAGCCAGGGGAGCAAACGGG